AUUGGAUUUUUUUUAAAAAAAGUUGGAUACUGUGACAUUAACACUCCUAUGCAAUGAAGCAGAACCAGAUGCUCAUUUUUUUCAGUCAACACACCAGCAACCAUACUGUGAUUAUCACAACUUUUUCAAUGUUGAAAAAAGAUAUCAGCCUGCUUGGGGUGGAAUGCUCAAGCCAAAAGACCUAACUCACUGAAGACGAGAUUUUUCUAUCUGUUGAGUCCAUGGCCUCAGAGUAAGAACAGAAUUAUCUGUUCUAUAAGAGUUGUUUGGGAAUUUUGUUUAAUUGCUGUUAUUGAUAUUUAAGAGCUGACCAGCAGCUGUACAUUAGUAGGGCUGAUGCAAUGAAGAUGAAUCAGCAUUGGUAUUGCCUUUUUAAGACUACAUAUGGGUCCAAAGAAGUUUUACCUCUUUAAGAGGUGUUUAUAUAAGGCAGUUAUUAGAGGGUGUAUAUCUCUCUCCUUGUAUCCAUUGUAGUUUUCUGUACAGAGUUAAGAAGAUUGAUUGCUUGUCAGGUAGUUGCCUACCACGUAUAUUUCUGUAUAUGUCUUGUAUAUAAACCACUAUUAAAUGUCUAAACCUGUGCAUGCUGUGUUUUGAUCCUGGAUUGUCUCAUAACAGUAGGCAUGUUCCAAAUGCUGACAAUUGCCCUGUUUGUGAAAUUGAUUGGCUAACCUUUUUGCAAAUUGGUUCAAGGACAGCAAUCACAAUGGAUAGCUACUCCAAUACCUAUUAUGAAGCUAUUUUUGUAUUACAAGUGACAAUAGAUUAAAGGGUUUUAAGUGUGAUUACAGUAAAAAUUACAUGUAUUUCAAUUCUAACCACUGUUACCUUACCUAUUUGCAUUAACUUACCUUGGAUUUUUUUUGGUUUUUCUCUUUCAGGAUAUUGAAAGUGUCAAUUCUUUGCAGUGGGGAGAAUGUCUAGUAGAACAUCCAUCUAUUCAUUUUUUUUCUGGUUUAAUUUUUAAAGCAAAGUUCAAAUUUUACUAAGCAAUUUAUAACCUUAAUGCUGUAAUAGCAUUAUCAGGUUUUAAACCCAAAAACAUUCCAUGUUUUCUAAAGAGAAGACUAUCUGUACUUAACACACUGUACUAUAGUUAUGUAAAUGAUUACAUUGCACAGAAGGUUCUAAUAGCUAACUGGGUAAAUUUGACUUUCCUUGACAGUAAUUCAAUUGUAGUUCAGUUAAAUGCAAUCUUACAUCCACUUAUAUGGAACAAGACACAUUCAAAUAAAAAGGACUGUUUCCAAGGAGAAAUAUGAAGAAUUGCACUGCCAGGCUUUUAUAAAUCCACACUAUGUUGUUAACUUUCAUUAGACUUUUCAGGAGCUGGAGUAAUUAAGCACUUCUGCAAUCUUUAAUUCAUAUGGAAUUUACUAGCCAUAUAGAAUGGCCUGCAGGCAAGCAGCUAAACCAGAUUUUUAAAAAAAUAUCUGAAGAGCUACUCUACAUGGCUGAUAAACUACAUUUGGCUAGGUGGAGUUUAAACUGCUUAUAUAGUCUCUUUGAUUGCAGGCACCCACAGUGGUGUAUUUCUUGAAUAUCAAGGUGUUAAAACAAUAGGGCUGUGUUUUGGAGGACUGAUACAAAAAAGUAUCUCAUGAGCUGAGAUUCUACCACUGUGGACUACAGCUCAUGUAGUAGUACAGCUAGUGUACCCUCUACAAGGAUUUGCCUUAUAACUCCUUAUCUGGUAAAAUACCCAGGAAAUUCUAAUCUUUCUUACCUGCAGUUGUUAUCAGAGGAGUAUGAUUCAGUCUCCUGAAUAUAUACUGUAUUAUACUGUAAUACAAAAUUACUGUAAAAUUAGGAAGACUUUGAUUAUCUAUUGUCAGAUCCACUAACUGUAGUAUUUUAUCUUAUUUUGUUUUCUUUUUAUUUUCUUUUUAAUAUAUUUUGUUUGCAAUUCUGGUCAGUAACUACAAUAAAAAUAUUUGUUCAUGUGUGAAUGUGGGAAGUGUCUGGGAUUCCUAUCUGGUUAAUGACAAAGUGAGAAGCCUCUGAGGUAGAGAAACCAAAUAGUAUAUAUGAUACCCUGAGAAAAUAAAAACUUAUUUUGUGAAGUUUCUAUGGAUAGUGUCUUACCUAUUACUAAUGAUGUGGAAGAAAAACAAGAUGCUCCUGUUGUGAUUUUCUAUCUGUUUCAAAAUAAGUUAAUUACAGAUUCUGAUUUAGCAACAUUUUCAGAAGAGUUUAUUAUGAAAAUUCCUUCUUCUUACCACUUUCUCAUGUGGUCCUUAAGAGUAAAUGGUUUCCCUGAGUCCAAAAGGAAUGAAAACACUUACAACAAUGAUACAUUAACAGGUAACUUUUCUGAAAAUCAUUAAAAUGGUUUGUUUGAAAAUUGAAAUGGGAUGUAGUAUACUGUAAUCAAUUAAAAAUGAAAGUACCUAUAAAAAAGUAAGGGAAAUAGGAUUAUAUAGAACUGGAUGAUUUUAAAAUUAUGCAGCUGCAAUACAGUUGGGUAUGCAUCACCAGCUUUCACAAAGUAGCUUAUAUGGUUUACUUCUUUCUCCAGUUCAGCAAAUAUAUUAUUCACAUAUAGCCAUUGCAAGCUUCCAUUCAGAUGUGUCUCACUGCUCACAUAGUUUCCACUGAAUGUAACAGAUACAUCUGACAAACAAAGGGACACAUAUUUUUCAGCAGCAAGUUGAAAUCUGAGAUUGCUUCUCACAUGAGAGCUGGCCUGUUUGCUAUGAAAAAGAAGCAAGAACACUGCUUGCUCAUCAAUAUACAUUACUUCAUCUUUCACCAGAUUCACCUAGCACAAAACUUUGUCAGUGUAUAACUAUAUCAAAUUUGCAAUAAUUGACUAUGAUCUAUAGCAUUGUAAGGUGCACACAGGGCAUUUUAAACCUAAAUAUUCAUUCAUGGUUUAUUGAAGAACUAUUUGCACAUACAGAUUCCCAGGAAAAAAAACAUUUCAGCCAACUUUCCAUGUACCGUAAUCUACAAUUUUAUUCGUAGGAAAGACUGCAUAUCUGAUUCCUACAUGU